rnacentral:rRNA from 1 species
GACGAACGCUGGCGGCGUGCUUAACACAUGCAAGUCGAACGGAAAGGCCCUGCUUGCAGGGUGCUCGAGUGGCGAACGGGUGAGUAACACGUGGGUGAUCUGCCCCUUACUUUGGGAUAAGCCUGGGCAACUGGGUCUAAUACUGGAUAGGACCAUGCUGUAGGUGGUGUGGUGGAAAGAUUAGUUUCGGUCAGGGAUGAGCUCGCGGCCUAUCAGCUUGUUGGUGGGGUAAUGGCCUACCAAGGCGUCGACGGGUAGCCGGCCUGAGAGGGUGGACGGCCACAUUGAGACUGAGAUACGGCGCAGACUCCUACGGGAGGCAGCAGUGGGGAAUAUUGCACAAUGGGCGCAAGCCUGAUGCAGCGACGCCGCGUGGGUGGUGACGGCCUUCGGGUUGUAAACUCCUUUCAGCCAUGACGAAGCCCUUGUGGUGACGGUAGUGGUAGAAGAAGCACCGGCUAACUACGUG